AAAUGAGCAAGGAACGAGGAUAUACCUAAUAUUAAAACGCAGUGUUCAAAUAAGUACUAAAUCGUAACAAUGUGCAAAUCUCAGGGAAAAUGUAAAAAAUAAAUAAAUCCUAAUUGAGACCUAAUUAGAGAUCAGUGCAGGAGGGGAGGGCUAUGUGCGCAAAUAUCCCGUCAACAUGGGAUCCAUUGGAAUUGGCUUCACACGGUACCGUUUCAUCUUGUUUAUAAAGGAAAAAAAAAAAAAAAACCUAAAUUACUAACAAAGGAGAAAAGACAGAAGCAUUCUAAUUUUUCCCUCUCCAUUCGGCCAAUCUCCAUAGCCCCUUAUUCUCAUGUUCUUGCUUCAAUUUGAGCAGUGGUGCAGGGGAGCCAUGGAGGAUCAAACCUUGAGAACUCUGUUUCAAUUUCGAAACACCGUCCCUACUUCGAUUGGGACGAAGAAGACGGGUCUCGACCACUAAGGUGUGUAUGGCGUGGAGGAGUCAUUCGUGGAGCAUGGCACGAGUGGAAGAAUCGGCUAGAGGCUACGGUGGCUGAAGCUUUUAGGGUUUCUGCCGAAAAUUCCAUAGGUAUUUUGGGCUUGGGUAUUUUGGGUUAUUUAGGCUAGUUGGGUUAAGUUUAAUAAUUUGAGCCCGUUAUUUUGGUUGCUAGGCUAUGUAAGAAAUGGCCAUUGGAUUAUUAUUAUUAUUUAUUAUUAUUUUUAUAUUUUGAUUUUUUUUUAGUUUUUGUGUAAGCCCAGGCACAAAUUGGGUCUUACAAGAUUUCCGUCAAUUCUAAUAUAGACUUUCGAGUAAAAA